ACUGGGGCCACUUGAGGGUGACACACAGUGACCUUCCUCAGGAGAGUGGAAGCUCUGCAGGGUGAGAAUGAAACAUGGGUGGUCAGUGGGGAUAAUAGGACCUACCUAGCUGGGCUGUUAUGAAGGCUAAACGAGGAAACACUUGUAAAGUUCUCAGAACUGUGCCUCGAACAAGGCUUUGCAGAUUUGAUAUAGAAAUCCAGGAGAAAAUUCUAUGAGAAGAGCUCUUACCAUAUAAUGAAGACAAGACUUGAGCAAGACUUUGUAAUUUUCUACUAAUCAAAAUUCAAAGUAUGAGUCUUGACAGAAGCCAAACAAAGCCUCCUGCCUGGAACUCUGGAACUCUUCUCUUUUUGUUCUGAAGCCUUGGACCCAUCUUGCCUUUUGCUAGUGGGAGAUGUCAGUCACCAUCACCCCCAUUCACCAGGACAGAGGGGCUACAGAAAAAGCUGAACUGUGCUGAGCCAUCUGCUGCCUCUUCCCAGUGACAGCAUCUGAAUCUGAAAGAAAAAAAGAAUGUCACAUCCAUUUGUCAUGGCUCUUGGGACCCUGACUUUAUGCAGGGGUGCUGGGAGCUAAGUAAAACACCUCAAGCCAGUAAGUCCCCCCGCAACACACCUUAGAAAUAUAAAAUUGACUUGCUACAGACUUGUUUCUAGACCUGAACUCACCUGCAGUUCUUGGAAAAGAAAAUUAAAUGGGUAUGUUAUUAUUUAAA
rnacentral:lncRNA from 1 species